rnacentral:rRNA from 1 species
UACGUAGGUGGCAAGCGUUAUCCGGAAUUAUUGGGCGUAAAGAGCGCGCAGGUGGUUGAUUAAGUCUGAUGUGAAAGCCCACGGCUUAACCGUGGAGGGUCAUUGGAAACUGGUCGACUUGAGUGCAGAAGAGGGAAGUGGAAUUCCAUGUGUAGCGGUGAAAUGCGUAGAGAUAUGGAGGAACACCAGUGGCGAAGGCGGCUUCCUGGUCUGUAACUGACACUGAGGCGCGAAAGCGUGAGGAGCAAACAGGAUUAGA